UAUUAACCCUUCGCCUCCUGAAUAAGAAUGAAAAAACAGUAUCCCAUUAACAGGGUCUAGCAACCAAACACAUUGAAGCAAUCUAUCAUAUUAAAAGUUAUAAGGUUUUAGGCCCCCAAAGGUUUGGGGACACAAGGGAAGUUUUAAACAGAAAGCAGUUUAUUAUCCUCAUACAUCAAUUCCUGACCUUUUGAAUUACACAAUUCAAACUUGUUUUUCAGAACACUGUAUCAAUU